ensembl:lncRNA
CGGCGGACCCGCCUCCAGCAGCCGCGCUGCGUCCGGGCCGCGGAGGCCGAGGGCGCGGGGCCGGGCGGCCGGGCCGGAGCGGCGAGAAGAAGCCCACCUGAGCCGGCGCCACCAGGCUUGGCGGAGCCGCGCGCGUCGUCCCCACCGAGAGCAGCGGCGCCGCCGUGCGGGCCAGGCGCCCAGCGAGGGGAGCGGACCCCGGUUCAUGGAGGCUGAGGCGAGGGAGGCUUUCGGAGCCUGGAUGUGGAGGAGAGAAACGGCAGAACUAACUCAGGAAAUUGGCUGUCGGAGAAAGGCCGAACGAGGUCUGGGGCUCAGAACCAGGCUGGGGUAGGUGUGGGAAACCUGCGAGUUUGAAGGAAAAAGCAGGGAAUAUUUUCAGAGCUUCUCUCUGGUUUUGGCGAAUGCUCUCAUUUUAAAGGUAAAAAAACCACUGCAUUUCAGGUGUUCUGUGAUUUUUUUUUUUUUUUUUUUUGGUGUGAAUGGCUCAUUUCAGAAUUUCAAAACCUUUAACUCUUUAAUGUAAAAGCUUUUUUUUUUAAAAAAUCCACAGAUUUUGUUUCCCGAGGUUGCACUGAACCUGGGAGGAGUGCUGUUGUGUACAUACUAUUGUAUGGUUUUAUUUAUUUAUUUUUUUUACCGUGCGGAUCAGCUGGAAGAUUUUUUUCCAAGUGCCAUUUCGGAUUUAUUCAAUUUUUUUUUUCUGAUUCGCUUUCUCGAACAUAUUACCUGCUCUUGUCAUUUUAAGCAUUGAAGACCAGAGAAUUAUUCCCCCACCCCACCCCGUUUGGAGCUUGAGGCUCCAUUGCCAACAGAAGGACAGCUGGGAAAACUGGAUUAAAAGGAUGGUUUUUAUCUGUGUUUUACAGUUAAGACUGAUAUUUUGAAGGCACGUUCUUUUUGUGAUUCAUUUUUUUAGCGCAUAGUGCUAACCUUGAAGAGAUUUGUGGUUGGGAUUUUGGUUUCCAAGAGGUCAUAGUUUUUCCUCUUUCAAGAAGGGGGAGGGGAAAGGGGGCUGAGGAAGGAGACCAUGUUAAUUGGUAGAAGUAGAAUGGAGCUUCAGUUGCCCGGGUCCUGAGAGCUGGAAGAAAAAGGAUUCAAUCUGCAAGUUAGGAGGUCCUCCUCUCAUCUUUCUUAAAAAUUGCAAGGGAUUCAAUUCCAAUCAAGACCAAAGCCACAAGAUUCUGGAACCGUGAAGACACUGAGAAACCAUGAGUGUAAGGUUACCCCAGAGUAUAGACAGGUAGGUGUGCUAAUAAUUUGGUUUUUCACCACUUACUGAAGGAAGGGCUGGGAGGAGGGUGUUGCGUUUUAAUGAAGGGUUACAAAAAAAGUCGGGGUGGGCUGUGGAAAUUGGUGAGGUAGGAGCAUUGAUCACUGAGGAUUGUUGGCAUGUGUUUAUGUGGCCUCUGUAUGUGUCCAUGUUCAAACAAACCUCCUGGUGCAGUGUCUUUUUAACGUAAGCAGUAAGCUACGAAGCCAGAGCGGGGAAGGAAGGAGAAAUGCUUCCAGUGGCUUUUGACUUGUCAGGCGAGAGGCUGAAUUUGGAUCCCCAACUUGCCAGCCUAGGGCCGGGAGGCAGGAGCAAGCCUGGUCAUGUGAGCUCGCAGGGGUGGGUAAUGGAAGGGCUUUAGGUAUUGGAGCUGCUGGGGGAAGGGCCCUGGAAGGGCUGUGGGCCUCCACCAAGCUGGUUGGUGGGGCUUGGUAAUGGGGAAGCUCCCCUUUCUAGAAUGAGGAGGAUGUUUUUGGCCUGAAUGGUGGGAUAGAAACGCCCUUUGCGCCCAUACAGGGCUGUAUUUUUGCCGUUGACUAAUAUGCUUCAGUCGCCUUUGAAUUUCCUAUGCUCCAAGCUUAGAGUUUGAGUUUAGAUCUGCCAAAUGGCUGUUGCCCUGGGCAUAUUCUUCCAAACUGUUGUUAAUAAGCUUGAUUCUGCAGAAUGGGCCUUCACUCUGCCUAGAGCUGGGAGCAGUUGUUUGGGGCUCUUAGGCCUGCCUGAUGGGCAGAGGCGCUGGCCCUCAGUCAGAGCACAUGAUGCCCCUCCCUCUGGGAGCCAGCCCAGCCUCCCGUGUCAUCGGCGGCAUUACAGUGUGGUCGCAGUUCUUUCCUCUAAAAGAUUGUUACAACUUUGUAAGGUGCCUGCCUUUUCCCUUCCUCCUGCUUCUCCACCCUUCCCUCCUUGAGACUCUGAGGGAGGUGUGUUUUGUAGGUGUGUACAUAGCCUAACUAAAUACGUGGGUGGUUGGAGGACUGAGCAAGCAAAUGAAAGGGCCAGUCCUGGAAAAAAUAUUGGAGAGAUAGGGAAGAAUAUUUGCCUGAGAGCAAUUGUUCUCUCGCUGUCCGAUUAACCUUUCGUUAUCCAUGCUAAGAAUAAUUUCCUUUUGACUGCAGAAUGUGACAUAACAUGCAUGUAAUCUCUCUCGAACAUUAAUCUCCAUAUUGCUUCAGGGUCCCAUUUAGAUUUGUUCAGCAGUCCCCAGAUAGGGAACCGACUUGGCAGUGGAGAAGAGGAGGCGGCCAACCAAAGGUUGUAGGACUGGAUUGGACCUCUUCCUCUUUCCCUUGACCCUGGGAAAGGGGUUACUGAGGCAUGUCAAAGCACAGAGUCAAAAUGGUGUACGUGGCUGCCCUUCUCCCCUUUUUGUCUGUCAGUGUGACCAGGAAUUGUGAGGAGAUAGAGGCCCAAGUGUUAGAGAAAACGAAAAGGAGGAGGAGGAGGCGGUGGCAGCGGUGGCGGCCUUGAGGGUUCCUGAGUUGACGUGAGAUGCUUCUUUGGGAAUUUGGAUGUCUUCAUAGAUACAGAUCUCAGACUCUGUCUCAUUUGAGCUUUAUGAUGUUUCUGUGAGGUAGACAAAUCUGAAGUCAUUAUUCUCAUUUUGUAGAAGUGGAAACAGUCUCAAGAGAGGAUUCCUGGUUUAUCCAGUGCCAUCUUGACUGAGUAAUGUCAGAGUCUGGAGUGAAACGUGGUUUUCUUUGGAUUCUGGGUCCCUGGCCCUUUCCAUUGCCCCAUCCUGUCUAACUAGGUUCUCAGACUCGCCCUGUAGAUUGUGGGAGGUGCCUUUUUGCUCUUCUAGCAGUAGAUAGGGUGCUCUUCAGCAGUCAAGGUAUUCCCUGUACUUCAUACCUGUAAUUUCAAUAGUUAAAGCACUGUUGUCUCCUGUGGGAUUAUAUAGCUUUGCAGGAUCAGGGCUUUCCUUGCCUUCACCCCUGCCUGAUUCUGUUCCCUGCUCAGAGGAUCAGUUCUGGGACCUAGGCCCCUUUCUGGGCAUCUCCAGCUAGCUGUCCUGGGUGGUACUGUGCUCCCUUAGCUACAGGCUCAUUCUGUUGGACCUUUUGACACCCUAGAACAGAGCUGGCGAACCUUUUGGAGCUUUCAGUGAUAACAGACAGCCCACUGCAGCGCCCGUGCCAUAGGUUCACCACCACUGCUCUAGAAUUUUAAAUAAUUCACGGUUUUAUGCUAUCCUGGAGGGACUGAUUGGAGGGAAAUACUGCAGAUUAUGGAGUGAGGGAAACUAGUCUUGUUUAGCUUAUCAGUUUGCUGUGUACAGUCUCAUGUAACAUGCUUUAAGACUGUUUUUGAUUUUUGGUUUGUUUUUUUGAGACAGCGUCUUGCUAUGUAGUUCAGUCUGGCCUUGAACUCACAGUGUAGCUCAGGCUGACCUGGAACUAACGGCAGUCUUCCUGCCUCAGCUUCCCAAGUGCUGGGAUCACAUGCAGGCAUCACCACACCUGGCUACAUAAGAAUGUUUUUUGGUUUUGGUUUUGGUUUUGUUUUGGUACCAGGGAUCGAACUGGGGUCCUGGCACUUGCGCAGCAGGUGGCGAAACCACUGAGGUAAAUCCCCGGCCCUACAUAAGAAUGUUUUAAAAUUAAAAUAUAUGGAUCUGGCUCAUGAAGAGUACACAGUCUAAUUGGGGACCUAAGCAACACAGUAAGAUCCCCAGAGACGACAUACUGUAAAAGCAACGCUAGUCUCUUAAGUUCUGUGAAACCAAGGCUUGUAUUUGGUUUGCUUUUUUAUUACUCUUAUCAUUAUUAUUUUUAUUAUCAUUAUCAUCAUCAUCAUCCUGUGUGCCCAGCUUAGUGCUUUGUAGGGAAUAAGUGCUCCAAAAUAUUUGACAAAUGAUGUUAGGAUGAGUGAACACAUCAUCAAGUGUAAACUCUUCCAUUUCAGGUUGUUUCAACAUUCAUGUGUUAAUUUCAAAUGUAGUCAAAAUAAAGUCAACUAGAGAAGGUUUCUCAGGUGAUAUGUAGUUUCCAGAAGACAAGCAACAGCGUGGAGGACUAUGCUUUUGGGGUCACUUCAAGAAGACUUUGGAAUACCUAUUUGGCAGUCUUUUGCCCCUUUCCUCCUGUUGGGUAUUGACUCCUAGGGCCAUAUAAAGCAUGCAGUAUUUGCAACUAAUGUUUAUCUUUUGGUGUUAAUAAAUUGUUACUGAAAGAUGAGCUAAUGUGUAGCUGAUGUGUAGCUCUUAAUGUCUUUUUUAGGUUUUCUACAUGGACAACUUAGCAUAUAUUUAUAUAUAUAUGUUAUAUAUGUAUAUAUAUAUGUUAUACAUAUAUAUGUUUUUUAAAGAGUUUCUAGGCUGAAGAGUUUUGGGGUAGAGUGCUUGCCUAGUAUACCCUGAGUUCAAUCCCCAGCCCCCUCCAAGUUCCUAAACAAAUUUUUUCUGGUACAGAGGUUAUUUUCUAGUACUGAAUUAUUUUCACAGAAAGCAUGAGUUGUGCUAGGCCAUCUAUAUCUGUUUGCCUAGUUCCCCAUGGCAAAUGUUUCUAAGAUGGCCAGAUGGCUCAGGAGUUUGUUUCCAUGAAACAGUUUUCCUCUUCACAGAGUUAGCUCACGUUAGCCCCAAACCAGAGAAGUGUUACCAAAGUUAAACCAAAAGUUCCUGGUGUGAGCCCUGGCUUUCCCAUUGACCUUUGGCAAGUCACCUGCCUCCUCUGCUUCACCGUGUGUGAAGUGGUAGCAGCUCAUUCACAUAAGAUACUUUUCAGUUCACAAAUACUGUCCUUUUCUUUGGUACCGGGGAUCAAACUCGGGACCUUGCACUUGCGAGGCAGGUGCCGGAACCACUGAGCUAAAUCCCUGGCCAUACAGAUACAUAGACCAGGCUUUAUUGUUACCAAAGUACACAAGGUUAGAAAGAAGGAAGCCAGGUGUGGUGGCACACACCUGUAAUGCCAGCACUAGGGAGGCAGGGGCAGGAGGAUUGCCCAGAGUUCAAGGCCGGCCUGGGCUACAUAGUGAGUUCAGGGCCAGCCUGAACUACAAAGUGAGACCCUGUCUCAAAAAACAAAAGGUUAGAAAGAAGAAAUACUUUUCCAGUGGUCAUCAUUGGAAGAUGAUACUGAAGACUGUGAGAAGACAAAAGUGAUUGAAUUUCCUUCCCAGGAAUUUGAUAAAUGGGAGAGACUGCUCACCUUCAUUCACCUAUAUGUCAUUUACUUAGUGGCCAGCGUGGAGGGGUGGGUGUCCUGGAAUUGAACCCAGGGCCUGAUGCAUGCUAGGCAAGUGCUCUCACCGCUUGAGCUACAUCCUGAGCUCCAGAAAGGAUUUAUUUUGUGAUCUCUGGCCAUUCUUUCUCAUAGGACCAUAUGACUUUCCUAAUUCAAAAUAAAUCCAGACCCACCAACUGUUCCCUGUCAGGGUCUCUUCCCACCUGGAUUCUGGUCUCUGUUGAGCUCUGAGACAAUCCCCAGGCAUUAGCUGAGCUUCUGUCUAGGUUGAAGGGUGACAGGGAUAUAAAGCUACAAAGGUUAGAUCUUGAGUCUUUCAGAAUAUAUUCUUAUUCCCAUCUAAGGCUGAGAUGAGAGAUGGCAGUGGAUUUGCAAAUGAAACAGUUGGAGAUUAAUCACCGUUAUAGAGCAGAAGCAGGCUCAGCUUAACUUCACAUACUCAAAAACAUUUCUAGUAGCACACUCUUUGCUUAAUAAAUUUUUAAAGCUUUUUUUUCAGAGUGAAAAUACUGGCAGGCAGAGCUCUGUUCUCCGGUUCAGGAGCAUAGACAAAAAAUAAAAAUGACUGAGUUCACCAGAAAUAAAAGAUUUUGUGCAGGGCACAUACCUAAUCUCCACAUGAGUAUAAAGAAAAACGAGGAAUAUUUCUCUAUGGAGUAGAGUUUGGAAACUAUGGAGUUUGGAAGUUUGGACAGUGUUCCUUACUAGAUCUAAGGGUUUUUUUGUUUGUUUGUUUUGUUUUAUUUGGAUCUAGGAUUCUUAUGUAUGUGUGAAAGGAUUUGUUAACUGUAACCUUGUAUAAAACAUGUUAUUUUAAUCUAUACUGACUGAGUCUGCUUCACAUCUUCACAGUGGCAUUGCCAUUAAAUAUACUUUAUUGGUUUAUUGUUUUUAAAACUUAAUUGGAAGAUUUACAAUGUGGCUUGGAAGCUUUUCCCUGUGGACUGUGCGUUCUUCCUUCUUUUCUUAAUCACCAUAUUGGGAAAAGACCUAAGCACAGACCUUCAAGGGCAUCCAAGGUCACCCCCACCCGUACAGCAGACGGCUGAAAUGUUUCGGGUCUGGGGGGCAUCUUUAAAAGCUAUGUUAGAUUUCUUGUGAAUGAGGGUUUGAGUUCAAAAUACAGACAUUGGUGUCUGCAUCAAUAGAUCUGGGUGCUGGACCAGCUUGGCCGCCAGCUGAGUGAGUGAGCUUGGAACGAAAGGUCCUUACCUGCUCCAGACCUCAGCGUCCUUACUGGGACAGUGAAGUGGUUAGGCUGAAGUCUCUUCAGAUUGGACUCUUCCUAGCUAGCUGUUACAUUGGUUGGUCCUCUGGAAACAGAAGACCUUUCUUUCAUCAAGCCAGAACUUUUUUUUUAAUCAUCCGGCUUUCCUGAAAACCAGUGAGAAUGAAAAUUUAAAAAGACCAAUGAACAGAGCUGCCCGAUGAGAGGGAAGUGGAAGUACAGGGAUGAGGAGACUUGGGGGAGCUGGGAAGUCUGUAGCCCCCAAUAGAAUUGAGAUAGAAUUUGGAAAGUAUUUUUAAGGUCUAAAACACCACAGAUUUUUGGUACUGAAAAAAACAACAAAACAAAUAAAAAAAAAACUGGGUAGAUUUGAGAGGAAAAUGACAGGAGUCUGAUAGGACCUGAAGGAAUCGCCUUGCGCCUGCCUCUUGAGUCCAAACACAGUAAAGAUAGUUUGGCAUCGCUCCCAUCUCCGAGGGUCUCUGCAAGGUGGUUCCAUGAGCUUAACAAUUACAAGUCCUUUUGGACGCCAAACUUUCCUUCACUACAUUGAAGACCAUCUUACUGUCUUUAAUUCUUUUUUUUUUUUUUUUGAGUAGGAAAAAUUUAUUGGGAGAAAAAAAGCUCCUGCCUAAGAGAGACAGAAGGGCGACCCGAAAGUGGGUUGCCCGCCCACCCCACUUUUCAAAGAUGUUUUAUACAGCAAGGCCAUGUGGUGAGGUGGGUACAAAGUGGGAUGAAACUAUAAGACCCAGUGGAAAUUUACAAGGUGGGCAUGAGGUAGGACAAAACCACAACUAACUAAUAAAAUUACAAGUUACUGUCUUUAAUUCUGACUUCAGUGUGGGCCCUAAAGUUAUAGUAUCCCUCUUGUUGUCUUUAUUUACUUCUUCAAGAUUUUCCUCCACAUUCUAAAGAACAGUAACUUAACACAUGCAUGUGUGAGGAAAGACCUUGAAAAGCUGGAAUGAAGUCCUUUCAGCAUCUUGGUUCCCAGCCCUUUCUUCUUUGUCUCCAGUAUUUGGGGAACAACAACUACAGUGUUGUGUGAUAAAAUCUAUAGUCCCCAGUAAUGGCUUGGCCUAACAUCACUCAGGAAACCAAUCUGGUAGCCUUGGUGGUCAGUUGAUUGGACUGAAAGUUUUUAUCAAAUGGGCUCCAUGUUCAGUUCUUGGUGUUCUGGUAGAUAACAUACAGGAAUGUGGCACUUGCAUUCUUGUUGGGAAACGUUAUCAAUGAAACAACACAAAACAAUAAAAGAAAAAACCCUAAAUUGCUGAAUAUAUAAUCUGUAUGUAUAGCAAGAAGGUGCAUUUAGAAAAGAUGGAAGAGAAUAGCCAGGGAGGGUAGAUACUCUUGGGGGUGGGGGACUCAAACAGGAACCACUUGAGGGAAGCUAGAGUAGGGCCAAGCGUGGCAAGGGCUGGAAAUGGCAAGACUGUUGGCCUUGUAGAGCAGAGAGAGAUUACGCUGACAAAGUGGGCAUGGUAGGGGACAAAGGUAUUCAGACUACGCGGUAGGAAAAAGGAAGAAAGUAGAGGUUUGUGUAUUGCAGGGUGAUUUAAAAACCAGUGUUCAAAAAGAAUUCUGUUGAUCAGUAUGGAGCCUGGAAGAGAGCUUGAGGUCUGGAAGGCCAGCCAGGAGGUUUUGUCGCAGUCUUGGCAAAAGGUGGUGAAUGUCUGGAUCGCGGUGUUUAUAGCGGGAACGAGGAGGAGAGGCAGGAUUCAGAAGACAUUUAAGAGCAGAAUCCACAACAUAUGUUAGGGCUGAAUCGAACUUGAUUCGCAAGAGUUUGAGACUGGUUGAUGAGGGGAAAGGUGUUAUUAAUAGAAUAGGAUUUUCAUUAAAAGCCAUUUUGUUUCCCACUGGUACCCAGUGAUUUUCUUAAUGCAGCAUAUUGAAUGAUACUAUCUUCUAAGAAUAUUAGGUUAGGCCAUUUUUACCAAGUAGUGUUAGAGGUCUUCAGUGCAAAGAGGGGAAGGAGAAUCUCUUCUAGGAGAGCUUUUAGGAAUUUGGGCCAUGAUUCGAGAUGAUCAGGGUAUAUUUGAUGGAUCUGAUUCAUCAGUGAUACUCCAUUCCCACAUAACAGACCAAACUCCAAGAAUUUAGAAACCAUUCUAGUAUCAUAAUAAAGAAAAUACUGGACUUUAAGCGUGUGAGCCCCCAUUCAAGCCAUUAACUACCUGCAAUCAGGAAGAUUUCUGUAAAAGUAUUUUGUGCAUUCUAUCGUGCCAAGCAUAAGGGUCACUGUUGUUGAGGCAUUUGGUUUGGCAAGGACCCCAGACCCCUGAGUUCUCCUCAGCUGCCACUGGAAGACACAUGUUUGGGUUACCCACAGCCCUGUGCUGAUUCUCCGCUGAGGACCGACAGGCAUGGCUCUGGGGACAUAGUGAACAAACACAGGACAGUGGUUAAAAAUUAGGUGCCUAAAUCUCAGGCCAAGGCACAUCCUUGCUUUGCUCAAAAACCCAUGGUGUCUUUGCUUUCCAGCCCCAGAUGCCUUCUUGGGAUUCACGACUUCUUUCUUCAGCUCAGCCUACAUCUUGCUAAUUGCAGAUGUUAUUACUGCCCCUACCUCCCUGCUUCAGAAAACCGACCUGUUUUCUGGGCCACAUCAUCCUCUCCACACCUUUGUGUCAGUGUUUUCUGUCUCCCCUCAAUCCUUUAGCCUUACUUCCUUCAAGGAAGCCUUUUCUGGUUAACACCAGAAGACUACACGUUUAUAUUACUCAGCCUUCCUUUGGCACGCGAGUAUAGCAGUUUGACUCUAUUAUGUUUUGUUUAUAUAAAAUAAUUUAUAUAAAAGUUCUAGCAGAAUUUAUAUAAAUAUUCUAGCACAUGGUAGGCCAUUGAAAUAAGUGGCCUUGCUGUUCCCCUUUUCUCAAGUCUUGUCUGGUUAUUGAAUCUCAUCUUAUUAGUCAGGGUUCAAUAGCAGUGCUGGUUUUCUAAGCCUUUCUCUAGCGGCCAGUGUAGUUCUCUUUCUAUGAGGUAUUCUCUUUAUGCAGGGUUUCCGUACUUGAACUGUAGCUCACUCUUGAUAUUGCCCAGCUAAGAGGUUUCAAGAAAGCAGCUCUGCACGCUGCUGCCAGGAGCCGAGGCCAAGGCUUCCCCUUUCUCUUGGGUGCUAGGUCUUGGGCACUGGGUGUUUCUUCCAAGGGACAGAGCAGCCUUGUUGCCUUCAGCGCCUGGGAGUUCUGGGGAUUUCCCCACUGGCGGCUGGGUUUCCGGGCUGCCUUUCCCCGAAGGGGUCUGAGGGCACUGGGCCCACCCUGCUAUUGUCCUGCCUGCCCCAGCCUGGCCCCAUUCAUUUCCCAGAGCAGGGCCCUCAGAAGCUUCCCUCAGAGAGACUCCUGCCUCAGAGAAAGGCCACUGUUGUUCUGGGGGAGGGUGCUGAAGAGAGUGCGCUGAAUAGCUGUGUGAAUGGGACCUUGUUUGAGGCUAGAACCACAGACCCUCUUCUCUGAGCCCUAGAGGCGAGGGGAAAAACCACUAGGGUUCGUGUGUUCCCGCAUACAGGGUUUCAGGUUUAGGAACCUUCAUGCUAUGCCUCAAAUAAGGUUGAUCCACUUAACAGAUGUUCACAUGCUGUGACGCCACACGUUUGGACUCAAGGUAAAUGAGUUAUGUUCCAUCCCUUCAAGAACUUGUGGUUUUGUUGAGGGACACAGAAGUCACCAGGAAUUGUAUGACAGCACUUGAGCUUCCAUGAUCAGAGUGCAUGGUCGGAACAUCUGAAAGAGGUUUCCAGGAGGGAGGGACCUUGAAAUGGAGGCCAAAGAUCGGAGCUGGGCAGGAGAGAGGGAAAGUCCAGGCAGAGAGAGCAGCAGGUGCAGGAGGAGCCUGAGGCAAGAAAAAGCUCAUUGGAGUAAGAGUUAAAGUAGCUAUGCGUCUUUGUGAGCCCAAGGAACAGUUAAUUAAAUCACCCAAGGACCAUGAACCUCUAAGUUAGGGGUUUUGGACUUCUCCUGAGGGCAGUGGAAGACCAUUGUGAGAUUUUCAGCAGGGGUUGACAUCAGGUUUUCGUUGUUGCUGCUGCUGCUGUUUGACACAGGGUCUCUGAACUCUCUGUCAGUGAUGGCAAGCCUUUUAGAGCUUUCAGUGAUAACAGACAGCCCCCUUCAGCACAUGUGCCAUAAGUUUGCCACCGCUGCCUUAUGUGUAGCCCAGGUUGGCCUCAAAUUGUGGUUCUCUUGCCUCAGCCUCCUGAGUCGUGGGAUUAUAGGCCUUGCCAUCAAGCCUGGCUCACAUAAGUGCUUACCGAAACAAAAUCACCCUGGCUGCAGUGUAAACACUGGGUUAACAGAACAAAAGAGUGCAGUGAGGGAAAAUGGGUUAGGAGACCAUUGUUGUAAACUGGUUAAGAAGUGAGUGUGGGCUGGGGAUUUAGCUCAGUGGUUCCGCUGCCUGCCUCGCAAGCGCAAGGUCCUAAGUUCGAUCCCCGGUACCCAAAAAAAAAAAAAAAAAAAAAAAAGAAGAAGUGAGUGUGGCCUCUCCUGUGAUGAGUGACACUUCAGAGAUGGAGAAAAAUGAGGGUUUGCGGAUAAGUGGUUGUUUAUAAGGAGAGGGAGGAAUAAAGAGGUAAAGAGAACUCUUAUUCUUGGCUUUGCUGGGAAGUAUUAUUCAGUGCGAAAGAAUGUAGCGAAUACAAUUGAAGGAUGAGAUGGAUCAGCAUCCUUUUUAGCCAUAUUGAUUUGAAAUAUUUGUGGGAGACCCAGGCUACAGAAAGUGAGGAGCAUGUUCUGGGAUAAAGAAUCUCAGUGGCAGCUCAGCAUCUGGACAGAGCAGUGGGAGCAAAAGACUGUCUGGGACAGGCAUAGAAGAGGAGAGGGCUGGGGCCGGAUCCUGAGAGGCACUGUAUUAGCCCACAUCACCCAGCACGCACAACUUAAAGGAGGAGAGGUGUAGGGCUUGUGAUUUCAGAGGAUCCAUUUCAUGGUUGGCAGGCUCCACGGCAGGAGCGCCAUGGUAGGAGAACAUGGCAUAGCAAAGCUGGUUCCCAGCAGCCAGGAAGGGAGCAGGGAACAGCGCCAGAGAGGAAGGGAUGGGGAACCAUAUACAGUCCUGGAGGUCGCACCUCGUGACCAUCCCAGACACACCCAGAAGUGUGUUUCACUAAUUCCCCAGGCCUCUCCCAACCCAAUUAAGCUUCAUCACUAUAUCACUUUUAUUUACUUUUGGUUUUGUUUUGUUUGUGGUUUCUUGAGACAGGGUCUUGCUAUGUAGUUCCGACUGGUGUGGAACUCAAGGAUCCUCCUGCCUCAUCCUCCCAGGUGCUAGGAUUGCAGGCAUGUGCCACCUGGCCCAGCUUACUAUAUUAUAGUUAAAGGUCAGGAAAAGGAUCCUCCAGGAGACUGGCAGGGAGUCACACGUCACAGAGGGGAAAAAAGUCAGGGCAGUGUGAAAUCUUAGAAAUGAAGGGCACUGAGUAGCUAACAGUUCCAUGCUCCCAGAAGUCAAGGACAGAGAAAUGUCUGGAUAUCGUAAGUAGGGGGCGUCCAGGGCCUCUCGUGAGUGAUUUCUGGCCCAUAAUGAUGAGAAGAGGAGCCGGUUUGCAGUGGGUCAGAGUGAGAAGAGGUGAGGAAAUGGUGAUAGUCUCUUCUGUGAAAGUCAGUCAGAAACCAGGAAAAUAAGCACCGUUCCUGGUUCCUGUCAGUAGGACUUUGAGUUUUAUUUUUCCAAGGUAGGACUGUGUUUACCUAGGUCAAAGGUUCUUAAUCUCAGCGCACAUCAGAAUCACCUAGAAAGCUCAUUACAACAGGAAUUGCUGACCCCUCCCCCCAAAAAGUUCUGAUUUAGUAAGUUUGGGUGGAAAUCUGGGCCUGAGAAUAUGCAUUUUUGUCAGCUUCCUCAGUGAGACUGACAGCCAGCAUCCCACACUUUGAAAGCCACUGCAUUAUGACAUCUGUGCUCUUAAUUAGCUGUGUGUUCUGGUAACAAAAUUUUCAUUGUUAACUGUUCCAAAACUUACAUAUCAGGGGUUAUACUGUUUUGAGUAAGUUUCCUAAAAUGAUUCCGCAAACUGAUCCCAGGUUCUGAAUUUCCUGGUGUCAAGGGUCUCUGGAAUGUGUUACUGCAUUGAAAGAGCCCCAUCUCUAGAGCACCCUUGCAUGGAGUGGUUUAUCAUUCUACCCUGUGGUGACCCACACAGCUACCUGUGGUUCCUGAGCUCAGAGGUGGCAGUGGGGUCCCAUGCUGCGCUGGGGUUCUGCCCGAGGGCCUGUGUCUGUUCCCUUGAAAUCGGGUUCAGAAGCCACACAGCUGGGUUUCCAGGAGUGCCUGAGUGUCUAUCUCUUCCUCUUCCUCUGCUUUUCUUUUUGCCCUGUGAAUCAGUGGGAAAUCCCCCUAGAAUCUCCAGACCAGUGGCCCUGUGUCUGAGCUGUAGAUGCGGGUCAGAGAUAAUGGUAGGUUCAGUGCAGGGCCUGGCAAUUCCCGGGCCAGAGGGUUUCCUAAACAUCACUCCAGGCCUUAAGAUCCUUAAUUAAGCCACCAGAGGCCCAGAAGACAUGGCAGUUUUCCCUGAGCUCUCUACACUGAAGCUGUAACUACACUUCUGCUUCUGCCUGGGGACGCAUUCCUUUGCUAGUCCUGAAGGUAAGGCCUGGCUGCUUGGGAAAGGGCUGGACAAGGUAUGUCAGGAGAGACCAUUCUCUUCGAAUCUGUUAGUCUGGCUUGCGGGAAUUCCUUAUUCAUUCAACAACACAUGUAUUAAAUACUAGGCAGUGUUGUGGGCAGCCUGCAACUGGGGAUACACCGGAGCUUACAUUCUGUUGGAGCAAGACAGGUAACAAGAUCUUGCCAUGUAGGUUAGGCUGACCUUGAACUCACAGUCCUUCUGCAUCAACAUCCGCCUGUAGAGUGCUGGGAUUACAAGUUUGUGCUACUGUGCCCACAUCACCAUUAAUAUAUCUUUUGCAAAAUAGCUUUUUUAUCUGGGUUACAUUUCCUUUUACUAUUGUGUUUUAAGAGGUCUGUAUAGACUCUGGAUGCUACACCUUUAUCAGAUAUAAGAUUGACCAUUAAUUUCUCUUAUUUUUGUGGAUUGUUGUUUUACUUUUUGGUUUUUUGAGAUGGGCUUGCUAUGUGUUCCAUGGUGGCCUUGAACUCACUAUGUAGCCCAGGAUGCCCUUGAACUCAUGGCAAUCCUCUUGCCUCAGCCUCCCAAGUGCUGGGAUUACAGGGAUGCCCCACUGUGCCUGUCCUGUUUUACUUUUCUGAUGGUGUGCUUUGCAUGUACAGUCUAACUUGAUCCUUACAACAAUCCUGAGAUUCUGGUCCAGGUAUAAAUUAGGCCACUGCCUCUGGCUACAUAGUGUCAAGCCUGGAAGGGGAAGACAUUUGGGUUCAGUCUUCUUUCCAGGGCUUCAGUUUGCAUUUAUGCAACACAGGUGGCCCACAGCUGAGUUCACUUAUUUGGCUAUUUCCAUUUUUAAAACACUGUCAUCGUCUCUUACAUUGAAAGCUCCCAGAGGACAGCCUUGCUGGUGUCCUCAUCACAGCACCACACAAUUAGGAGUUAAAGCUGGCGCAUUUGGGAUGAUCAUGAAAUUUACACCCCUGGUGUUUGCUUAUUCUGUGUCCUUGUCAUUGUCUCUCUCUUUUUUUUUUUUCCGGUACCAGGGAUCGAACUCAGGUCCUUGCACUUGCAAGGCAGGUGGUCUUUUUUUGAAUAAUUAGCAUUACAGGACUAGGACAUGUGUGUGAUUCUGCUUUCGUUUAGCCCCCGAGUAAAUGCUUGAUAAAAGCUUUAGGAUGUGGAAGGCUGCGUCUCUGUAGAGGUGGCCUGAGAGGAUCUAAGCGUAAGUGUAGUUGCGUCAUCUCCCCUGGAAGCUGCUGUUCUCUCGAGCUGCCUUCAGCUGGGACACCCGGAUGGUUACACAGAUGUCCAUAUCAUACAUUCUCUUUCCCUCUUUCCUACACAGCAGCUGACUUGUCAGAGGUAUAAUUGCUGAACCAAAGUCUUAGCAUGGAAUCUUUCUCCUUUCCCAUCUCUUCUGAUGAGUGCUCAGGCAGGCUGUUAGAUACUUCAUGUUGUAAUACAAGCAUUUGGAGACCCAGAGAAGCUCCUUGGGGCAGCUGGGAGGAGUAAGGGAGAACAUAUGGGGACAGGCAUAUGACUUUAAUUCAUGUAUAUGAAUUCUCCCUGUCUACGUGUAACACAAUUGCUUUAUCAGGAUCCACGUUGAGGCCGCGCUUGGUAGUGCAGGCCUGUAAUCCAGUUUCUGCUUGUGAGAGGCAGAGAGGCAGUAAGAUCACAGGUUCAAGUCCAAUAGGUAGCUUAAUGAUUUAGUAAGAGCUUGUCUCAAAAUAAAACAUAAAAAGGCUCUGAGUCAAAACCCCAGUACCAGGCUGGGCGUAGUGGUGCAUGCCUGUAAUCCCAGUACUGUGGAAGCUGAGACAGGAAGAUUUCUGCUGAGUUCAAGGCUAUCUGGCUACAUAGUGAGUUUCAGGC